AUACAGAGGGUGCGAGCGUUAAUCGGAAUUACUGGGCGUAAAGCGCGCGUAGGCGGUCUAUUAAGUCAGAUGUGAAAUCCCAGGGCUCAACCUUGGAACUGCAUCUGAUACUGGUAGACUAGAGUUUUGGAGAGGGGAGUAGAAUUUCAGGUGUAGCGGUGAAAUGCUUAGAGAUCUGAAGGAAUACCAGUGGCGAAGGCGACUUCCUGGCCAAAAACUGACGCUGAGGUGCGAAAGCGUGGGUAGCAAACGGGAUUAGAUACCCUAGUAGUCC
rnacentral:rRNA from 1 species